rnacentral:sRNA from 1 species
AUGACUGGUGACAGAGUGAGAGAGGGGGUGACUAGUGACAGAGUGAGAGAGGGGGUGACUGUCACUAGUCACCCCAUCCCUCUCUCUGUCACUAGUCACUCCCUCCCUAACUCUGUCACUAGUCACCCCCUCUCUCACUCUGUCACUAGUCACCCCCUCUCUCACUCUGUCACUAAGGACAGAGGGG